rnacentral:rRNA from 1 species
AGUGAACGCUGGCGGCGUGCCUAAUACAUGCAAGUCGAACGGAGAUUAAGUAGCUUGCUAUUUAAUCUUAGUGGCGCACGGGUGAGUAAUAUAUAGCUAACUUGCCCAUUACUAAGGGACAACAGUUGGAAACGACUGCUAAUACCUUAUACUCCGUAUCUAUAUAAGUAGAUACGGGAAAGUUUUUCGGUAAUGGAUAGGGCUAUAUCGUAUCAGCUAGUUGGUAAGGUAACGGCUUACCAAGGCUAUGACGCGUAACUGGUCUGAGAGGAUGAUCAGUCACACUGGAACUGAGACACGGUCCAGACUCCUACGGGAGGCAGCAGUAGGGAAUAUUGCUCAAUGGGGGAAACCCUGAAGCAGCAACGCCGCGUGGAGGAUGACACUUUUCGGAGCGUAAACUCCUUUUCUUGGGAAAGAAUUAUGACGGUACCCAAGGAAUAAGCACCGGCUAACUCCGUGCCAGCAGCCGCGGUAAUACGGAGGGUGCAAGCGUUACUCGGAAUCACUGGGCGUAAAGGACGCGUAGGCGGAUUAUCAAGUCUCUUGUGAAAUCUAACGGCUUAACCGUUAAACUGCUUGGGAAACUGAUAAUCUAGAGUAAGGGAGAGGCAGAUGGAAUUCUUGGUGUAGGGGUAAAAUCCGUAGAGAUCAAGAAGAAUACCCAUUGCGAAAGCGAUCUGCUGGAACUUAACUGACGCUAUGCGUGAAAGCGUGGGGAGCAAACAGG